UUAGUGUGCAUGACAGCCAGAGCGCUCGCGUGGUGCUGAUGUGAGGAACACGCCGGGGUGGAUUUUUUUGUUUUUCUUUUCUUUUUGUUUCGGAGCGAUCGCGGACCGACAUGCGGUUCUCAAUGCAUGAGAUGGCUUUUAAAUAUCGGCUCUGUGUCCUUCUACAGUGUGUGCGUUAUCGUGGAUGAAUCCAGGCUAUGUGUUUAUUAUUGUGGAGAUAGCGGAUCGCCUGCGUUCCUGCGCGCUUGAAGAAGAAGGAGGAGGAGUUGGCUCGUGGCAGAUGGCAGAUGGCAAAGGGAUCUGGAGGAUGCGAUGGACACGAUUACCGCGAUAAUCACUGCAACUGGUGGGCGUUAAAUCAGCACGAAUUUGCAACGGCUGGAGCAUGCAGGCUGAUGUGCUCCUCACGUAAGUGAUCUAUCCGUCAAAAAUGCCACGGAGCUCUGGAAACAGGGUGGAGAAUGUCAGGGUGGAGAAAGCCUACACCCAUGGAAUGACUAAAGGUCAAGUAGUAUAGGGAAAGUCAUGGUUUGGAAAUGAACAGGGAAGCACAAUCAUUAUGGUUGUCUUUAUUUUGCCAACUCAUGCGAAUGUUAAGGUAUCUUCAGUGAGAGCUACCAAGCAUUGAUUGUCCAAAACAAAGCACCUGUCUUGAUAGCAUCACCUUGUCUAACUCACCGAGGAAAGCUUCAGACCAAGACUUUGCAGCAGGCUUCUGAAAAAGGUUGGCAAAAUGAUGUGCGAAGUGAUGCCGACCAUCAACGAGGGAGACUCGACGAGUUCCCAGAGAGGGUCUCAGAACGGCUCGGACGGGGAGUCCAAUUUCGAGCAGCUGAUGGUGAACAUGCUGGACGAGAGAGACAAGCUGCUGGAGUCGUUGCGUGAGACCAGAGAUGCUCUUGUACAGUCGCAGGCCAAGCUUCAGGAGGCCCUUCACGAAAGGGAUGCUCUCCAGAGACAGAUCAGCUCAGCUCUGCCACAGGAGUUUACAUCACUAACGAAGGAGCUGAGUGCAUGCCGGGAGCAGCUUCUGGAGAAAGAGGAGGAAAUCUCCGAGCUUAAAGCAGAGAGGAACAACACCAGGCUCCUCCUGGAACAUUUGGAGUGCUUGGUGUCACGUCACGAACGCUCUUUAAGGAUGACGGUGGUGAAGAGACAGGCUCCUCCACCCUCCGGAGUCUCCAGUGAAGUGGAGGUGCUUAAGGCUCUCAAAUCUCUCUUUGAGCACCACAAAGCCCUGGAUGAGAAGGUGCGAGAACGCCUGCGUGUGGCUCUGGAGAGAGUGACAACACUAGAGGGUCAGCUGACAGCCGCCAAUCAGGAGCUUUCCAUGGUGCGACAAGGAAGAGAUGGGAAGACAGAUGGGAACAAAAUGGACAGCUCUAAACCAGCCUGGAAGCGGCUGCCGAAUGGCUCCAUAGAUGUCCACGAUGAUUCGACUCGUGCUAUGGAGCUGCAGGAGCUGCUAGACAAAGCUAAUAAAGAUCUGUCGGCGAGUCGCGAGCGCUCUAACACGUUGAAUACCCGCGUGGCUGAGCUAGAGAGCGAACUCGCCAAUGUGCGCAAGGAGCUGCUGAAGAGCGAGGAGUUCAGCGCCAAACACCAGCGAGACAUCCGUGAGGCGAUGGCACAGAAGGAGGACAUGGAGGAGCGGAUCACAACGCUGGAGAAGCGCUACCUGGCUGCACAACGUGAAACAACCUCCAUCCAUGACCUGAAUGACAAACUGGAGAAUGAGCUGGCCACCAAGGACUCGCUCUAUCGACAGAGCGAGGAGAAGGUGCGUCAUUUGCAGGAGCUAUUGGAGUUGGCUGAACAGAGACUACAGCAGACCAUGAGGAAGGCUGAAACACUGCCAGAGGUGGAGGCUGAACUGGCUCAGAGAGUAGCUGCUCUUACCAAGGCAGAGGAACGACAUGGAAACAUUGAAGAACGUCUUCGGCAGUUAGAGUCACAGCUGGAGGAGAAGAACCAGGAACUGAGCCGAGCUCGUCAAAGGGAGAAAAUGAACGAGGAACACAACAGGCGUCUGUCGGAUACAGUGGACCGCCUGCUCACUGAAUCUAAUGAGCGCCUGCAGCUCCACUUGAAGGAACGAAUGGCCGCCCUGGAGGAUAAAAAUGCACUCAUUCAGGAUCUAGAGAAUUCACAGAAGCAGUUGGAAGAGUUCCAUCACACCAAGGAGAGACUGAUAGGAGAAAUUGAGAAGCUUCGCUCAGAGUUAGAUCAUCUAAAGAGAAGGAGCGGAGCAUUCGGAGAUGGAACGCACCCUCGGUCUCAUUUAGGCAGUGCCACAGACCUGCGUUUUUCUGUGGUGGAGGGACAGGGGGAGCACUUUGCCUCUACAGGAGUCAUUCGGCGAGCUCAAAAAGGAAGAAUGGUAGCACUCAGGGACGAGCCCACAAAGAUCCUACCGGUGGUUGAGCAGGACUGGGAACGAUUACAGCCUUCUAGCCUUCGAGGCAGCCGCUCACACCUGAUGGGCAGUGACACAGAGCUCUCAGAGCUGGAUGAUGAUGACCGUGAGACCGUGUUCAGCUCAGGGGACAUGUUGUCUCCCAGUGGCCACUCGGACGCUCAGACACUUGCCCUCAUGUUGCAAGAGCAGUUGGAUGCGAUCAAUGAGGAGAUCAGGAUGAUCCAAGUAGAGCGAGAAUCAGCCGAGCUCCGGGCGGAUGAGAUUGAGAGCCGUGUGAACAGCGGUAGCAUGGACGGGCUGAACGUGACGCUGCGUCCACGGUCCACUAUCCCCACCUCGGUCACUGCCCUCUCCCUCGCUAGCUCUUCACCUCCCGUCAGUGGCCGCUCCACUCCAAAGAUGGCAUCUCGCUCCACUGCUCAUGAGCUUGGUGUCAUGACCCUGCCUAGUGAUUUACGAAAACACCGCAAGAAAAUCACUUCUCCAGUGGAAGCUCGUGAGGAUAAGGCCACUAUAAAGUGUGAGAUGUCACCCCCUUCCUCCCCUCGGAGUCUCAAACUUGAUCAGAUAAACUUUGCUCAGCUGACUGGAAGCCUCGAAGAUGGACGAGGUGGCAACAAAAAGAAGGGAAUCAAGUCCUCCAUUGGCCGCUUGUUUGGCAAAAAGGAUAAGCCCCAAACAAUGGGCAAAGAUGGCCAAAUGACCCCACCUGUGAUUCCAGAUUUUGAGAUGAGCAUUGGCGAUACCAUGACCCUGGGCAAGCAAGCUGAGAGAGACCGCAGGAUGAAGAAGAAGCAUGAGCUUUUGGAAGAUGCACGGAGGAAAGGCCUUCCGUUUGCUCAGUGGGACGGCCCAACGGUGGUAUCUUGGCUUGAGCUGUGGGUCGGCAUGCCGGCGUGGUACGUAGCGGCUUGCCGUGCCAACGUGAAGAGCGGUGCCAUCAUGUCUGCACUAUCUGAUACAGAGAUCCAGAGGGAGAUCGGCAUCAGCAACCCGCUACACAGGCUUAAGCUCAGACUGGCCAUCCAGGAGAUGGUGUCACUCACCAGUCCCUCAGCCCCACUCACCUCACGCACCUCCUCCGGAAAUGUCUGGGUGACUCACGAGGAGAUGGAGAACAUGGCAACCUCCACCAAAGCAGAGAACGAGGAAGGGAGCUGGGCACAGACCCUGGCAUAUGGAGACAUGAACCACGAGUGGAUAGGAAAUGAGUGGCUGCCUAGUCUCGGCCUGCCUCAGUACCGCAGCUACUUCAUGGAGUGUCUGGUAGAUGCUCGUAUGCUGGACCACCUCACCAAGAAAGACUUGCGCACACACUUAAAAAUGGUGGACAGCUUUCACAGAGCCAGUUUACAGUAUGGCAUCAUGUGUUUAAAGAGGCUCAACUAUGACAGGAAGGAGCUGGAACGAAGGAGAGAGGAGUGCCACCAUGAGCUCAAAGACGCUCUGGUGUGGACAAAUGAGCAUGUGAUGAACUGGGUGCAGACCAUCGGGCUAAAGGAGUACAGCAAUAACCUUCUGGAAAGCGGCGUACACGGUGCCCUCGUCGCCUUGGACGAGACGUUCGACUUCAGCAGCCUGGCUCUCAUCCUGCAGAUUCCCAUGCAGAACACACAGGCCAGGCAGAUCCUAGAACGGGAGUUCAACAAUGUCUUGGCCUUGGGGACUGACAGACGUCUGGAGGAGUGUGAUGAUAAGUCUUUUCGGAGGUCCCCAUCAUGGAGGAAACGUUUCAGACCACGGGAUGGCCAAGGCCUGGGCAUGAUGCCCGGUUCCAUUGAGACGCUACCCGCUGGCUUCCGCCUGUCCACCAUGUCCAUUCCCUCCUCCAUGACUGUCAAUCCCAAGAAACAGCUGCAGCCUGAAGGUAAAAAGAGGUUCGAGGGCUGGACCCCAAGCCCCUCAGAGACUUGACCCCUCUGCCAUCAGGACUUACUCUUGCUAACUCUGCUUUACUAACAACACUCAUUAUCAGUGCAUUCCCACUACCUGUAUGGACACACGCUCGCGGCCUUUCGAGAGUGAUAUGCCAAAUUUCAGGGGGCUUGAUGUCCUCCUACCAAAUGAAACCAGUGCUUUCAUGGACACCGUGCAAUGGGAAGGGAGGGGGGAUUGAAGGGGGGGGUGAAAAAAAAACAACAAAAAACAAUGAAACAAGCUGAAAUCUGAACUUUUGAACGCAUCUUUUGCGUAGCUGCUCUUAGAGGAGAUAUAUCGUCGUGUGAGUCACUUUCUAGUAGCCACAAGUUAUUUAGUCAUUGUGAUGGUAAUUUUCAGCUGGUGUACUUGGCCCUAGUCUGUCAGUUUUAGUCUAUACCCCAGGGUGUGUUGAUGGCAAUUUAUUAGGCUUCCCCUUCUCUGGUUAUGCAAGGUAUUAAUCAGUGUGUCUGUAUAUACAAUUGAUUAUAAUUGUUUUUUUAUAUAUAUAUUUAAAAAAAAAUGCAUAUAAAUAACAUAUAUAUUGGAAUUGUAUAUGGAAAAAAAAUUAUAUCAACAUGAUAUGAAUACUGACGCUCUGUCUCAGUUGUGACUGUUUCUGUUCGUUUGAAACUGUUUGACCAGUGUUAAAUUUGUAGCUACUGUUUUUGGACAGUGUACAUUUUGGACUAAGUUGCCCUUUUCUGCUGAUCUGAGACCUGUUUUGCUUCUAAAAUAGCUGAGACUGGGAUCUACAAAGAGAAGGGCCAAUCCCAUUCCAGGUCAGUAGAAAAAAAGGGCUUAUUAUAUCAGUAGCAUCGAUGGUGUUAAUGGAGGAAGAUUGUUCACGAUCACAUGAACAGUGCACAUCUAUAUGUCAGUUCAUUCCAAAAAAAAAUAUAUUAAAAAAAUAAUGAAAAAAAAAACCUUCCAAGACAUAAUGCAGCCCUUUAUAUUUGAUUGAAAUUUGCAUAACUAGAUGUAUAGUGCUAGCAGGCCGACACCUAAAGCAAUAGCCAUCCAUGUCUUCAUGUACUUUAUACAUACUUGACAGCACACUUCAAGACCUUGUGAUAUUAAGGUUCUGUCUGACUUUAUAUUAUUUGAUAUUAUUAACAUAUGAAUAAAUGGAUGAUGUGAGACAGAAAGUGCUUGAAUUAGGCAUGCAUCUAUACCUUCAUUUUUCAGGAAUGAGACACCAUCAUCUUCUUUAAUCUGUUCUUGAAGAGGCACACUUAAGAGACUUUUUCUGUAUUGUUAGCUAGCUGAUUAAUGAAAUGAACUAGCUAGCAACGUUAGUUAGUUAGCUUGGAAUAUUGUGGAGAGUGGGUUGAUCGUCAAGAACCACAUCCUAGCUAAGACCUUUUUAUUUCUGUUUUUUCUCUCUCUCAUAUCCAGCAUUUGCUGCUGUGUGCUACUAACUUCUCAUGCUGAGUUUUAUGUAUAAUAUGUUUUAGCAGUUGUUCUUGUAUUGUAAGAAGAUGCUGUGGUUCUUCCUCUUGACAUUAUCACAGAGUACUGUUUACAGUCAUUGCAAACAUGACAGCAUAUGCUAAGCUUAUAUCAUACGGUAUUGGGUGUUGGUAAAGAUUUUUUUUUUUUUCUUUACAAGUACGAGUAAAAGCGCAGUAUCAGAGCAAUACCCAGUACCAGCAGUGGUAUCGAUGCAUGCCUAGCAUGGAUAAGUGUACAAAUAUGUAAAGAAGAAAAGCUGUAUCAGUCUGUUUGUGGCUCACGAACUUCAAAUCACACAGAACCUUAUCAAUCCAAGAGUCUCACAUUAUUUGAGGAGCAAAAGUUUUUCCUAUUAGCGUUAACCAAUUAAUUCAACUGUUGAAAUGUUUGAAUUUGCAUAACCUGUUGUCUUUUGGUUUUGUGUAUUUUUAUUUAUUUAUUUUUUUUAAACAGUGAUUCUAUUUCAAGACAUGUGCCACUGAGGCAGCUAUUUUGCUAAUUUAUGUAUAUGUCUGUAAGUAUAUGUACAUGUAUUUUAGUGUGUAUUUUAUGCCAAGUAAUGAAUCAAGCCAUUUUUGCCUGUUUACUGAGACAUAACUGAAUCCAAAUUCCCACUCGAUAUACAGCGAGUAUAUAUCAUGAUGUGUAUGUGAAAAAUGAAAAGUGAAGUAACACCGGAAUAUUGAUUUCCUGAACGGGACACUAUUGGCAGGAGAGGGACAUGUUGGAGCAUGCAUGCCACAAACCUGACAAUCGCUCUCUCUCUCUCUCUCUCUCUCUCUCUCUCUCUCUCUCUUUCUCUCUCUCUCGUAUUGUCUCCCUCUCACUUUUUCUCUCUCAUCAUCUAUCUAUAUUCAGCUGACGAAUCAAUCAGCUGAACACUUAAACUUGAAACCCUGUGGUGUGCUGCUCUUUUUUUUCUUUUCUUUUCUUUUCUUUUUUUUUUUUUACAUUUAUUUUUAUCUCUGUAUCUGCCAAGUGUGCCUGAUCAAAUACAGCUCAAUUCACAGCUUCACAGAUUCACGGCCCUAAUGUAUUUUUGUAUCUUUUUUGGUCCCCCUUUCUCUCUCUUUAUCUGUCUCUCUGUCUGCCGUUUUAACCGAUCGUAAACUCAAACUAACUUAUUUGACAUUUUUGAAUUGUUGAAUCUUGACCUGGACCAAUCCCCGGCAUUACUGUCAUCUCGCUGAUGACAUCUCCUUAUUCCAGCAGGUAAAUGAAGUGUGUAAAGUUUGAACUGACUAACCGAAGCCAUCUGCUUUUGCACUGUGUUCUCUCGUGAUUGUUGGUAGCAUUUCUCACCCUGCCGUUCCUCUAGUUCAUGACAGUAAUGUGAAAUGUAAGACAGGUGCAGCGCUCUCUCUCUCUCUCUCUCUCUCUCUCUCUCUCCCUCUCUCUUUCUGUCUCUUACUGUAUUUCUCCCUAUAUUCCUCUCUACCUCUCUUUCUAUCUGUAUCCCACUGUUUCUGCUUCCUCUCUCUCUCUCUCUCUCUCUCUCACAAACACACACACACACACAAACACAUACACUUCUGUUUUUGCAUCUUUAUCCCCCCACUACUCUAUCAACCUCUAUCUCUGUCACUUACUGCCUAUCUAUCUAUCUAUCUAUCUAUCUAUCUAUCUAUCUAUCUAUCUAUCUAUCUAUCUAUCUAUCUAUCUAUCUAUCUAUCUAUCUAUCUCUCUUAUACUCAGAUCUGUCUGUGUCCCUUUCUUCUCUCUCUCUCUCUCUCUCUCUCUCUCUCACUUUCUCUCUCUUUAUCCCUCUCUUCACUUUUUCCUAUUUCAAUCUGUGUGCAUGUGCGUAGGUUUCAGUGUCUGUAAAUAGCCUAUUUGUGUACAGAAAUAUGUAUACAGUAGUUAUAUCAGAUUCCACAUGAGGCAUGUGGGUGAAGUCUAUUAAAGUGAAAAUUCUCCUUGACUUGUUUUCAGAAGGAGACUAUGUUCCGUAGAUUCUUUUUUUUUCUUUCACUGUAAAUCUAUAUGCAUAUAUAUGUACAAUAUAUAUAUGUGAAAUAAAUA